rnacentral:rRNA from 1 species
GACGAACGCUGGCGGCGUGCUUAACACAUGCAAGUCGAACGGAAAGGCCCUGCUUUUGCGGGUUGCUCGAGUGGCGAACGGGUGAGUAACACGUGAGUAACCUGCCCUUGACUUUGGGAUAACUCUAGGAAACUGGGGCUAAUACCGGAUAGGAGCUCUUGCUGCAUGGUGGGGGUUGGUAAGUUACGGUGGUUGUGGAUGGACUCGCGGCGUAUUAGCUAGUUGGUGAGGUAGGGGCUUACCAAGGCUUUGUCGGGUAGCCGGCCUGAGAGGGGGAUCGGCCACACUGGAACUGAGACACGGGCCAGACUCCGACGGGAGGCAGCAGUAGGGAAUCUUCCGCAAUGGGCGAAAGCCUGACGGAGCAACGCCGCGUGAGUGAUGAAGGUCGUCGGAUCGUAAAACUCUGUUAUUAGGGAAGAACAAAGGUGUAAGUAACUAUGCACGGCUUGACGGUACCGAAUCAGAAAGCCACGGCUAACUACGUG